GACGAACGCUGGCGGCGUGCUUAACACAUGCAAGUCGAACGGAAAGGCCCUGCUUUUGUGGGGUGCUCGAGUGGCGAACGGGUGAGUAACACGUGAGUAACCUGCCCUUGACUUUGGGAUAACUUCAGGAAACUGGGGCUAAUACCGGAUAGGAGCUCCUGCUGCAUGGUGGGGGUUGGAAAGUUUCGGCGGUUGGGGAUGGAUUCGCGGCUUAUCAGCUUGUUGGUGGGGUAGUGGCUUACCAAGGCUUUGACGGGUAGCCGGCCUGGGAGGGUGACCGGCCACAUUGGGACUGCGAUACGGCCCAGACUCCUACGGGAGGCAGCAGUGGGGAAUAUUGCACAAUGGGCGGAAGCCUGAUGCAGCAACGCCGCGUGCGGGAUGACGGCCUUCGGGUUGUAAACCGCUUUCGCCUGUGACGAAGCGUGAGUGACGGUAAUGGGUAAAGAAGCACCGGCUAACUACGUG
rnacentral:rRNA from 1 species